GAUGAACGCUGGCGGCGUGCCUAAUACAUGCAAGUCGAGCGAACGGACGAGAAGCUUGCUUUUCUGAUGUUAGCGGCGGACGGGUGAGUAACACGUGGAUAACCUACCUAUAAGACUGGGAUAACUUCGGGAAACCGGAGCUAAUACCGGAUAAUAUUUUGAACCGCAUGGUUCAAAAGUGAAAGACGUUCUUGCUGUCACUUAUAGAUGGAUCCGCGCUGCAUUAGCUAGUUGGUAAGGUAACGGCUUACCAAGGCAACGAUGCAUAGCCGACCUGAGAGGGGGAUCGGCCACACUGGAACUGAGACACGGUCCAGACUCCUACGGGAGGCAGCAGUAGGGAAUCUUCCGCAAUGGGCGAAAGCCUGACGGAGCAACGCCGCGUGAGUGAUGAAGGUCUUCGGAUCGUAAAACUCUGUUAUUAGGGAAGAACAUAUGUGUAAGUAACUGUGCACAUCUUGACGGUACCUAAUCAGAAAGCCACGGCUAACUACGUG
rnacentral:rRNA from 1 species